rnacentral:rRNA from 1 species
AAUCCAUAGGUUAAUGAGGCGAACCGGGGGAACUGAAACAUCUAAGUACCCCGAGGAAAAGAAAUCAACCGAGAUUCCCCCAGUAGCGGCGAGCGAACGGGGAGGAGCCCAGAGCCUGAAUCAGCAUGUGUGUUAGUGGAAGCGUCUGGAAAGGCGCGCGAUACAGGGUGACAGCCCCGUACACAAAAGCGCAUGUGCUGUGAGCUCGAUGAGUAGGGCGGGACACGUGGUAUCCUGUCUGAAUAUGGGGGGACCAUCCUCCAAGGCUAAAUACUCCUGACUGACCGAUAGUGAACCAGUACCGUGAGGGAAAGGCGAAAAGAACCCCGGCGAGGGGAGUGAAAAAGAACCUGAAACCGUGUACGUACAAGCAGUGGGAGCACAGGUUUACCUGUGUGACUGCGUACCUUUUGUAUAAUGGGUCAGCGACUUAUAUUCUGUAGCAAGGUUAACCGUAUAGGGGAGCCGGAGGGAAACCGAGUCUUAACCGGGCGUUAAGUUGCAGGGUAUAGACCCGAAACCCGGUGAUCUAGCCAUGGGCAGGUUGAAGGUUGGGUAACACUAACUGGAGGACCGAACCGACUAAUGUUGAAAAAUUAGCGGAUGACCUGUGGCUGGGGGUGAAAGGCCAAUCAAACCGGGAGAUAGCUGGUUCUCCCCGAAAGCUAUUUAGGUAGCGCCUCGUGAAUUCAUCUCCGGGGGUAGAGCACUGUUUCGGCUAGGGGGCCAUCCCGGCUUACCAACCCGAUGCAAACUGCGAAUACCGGAGAAUGUUAUCACGGGAGACACACGGCGGGUGCUAACGUCCGUCGUGAAGAGGGAAACAACCCAGACCGCCAGCUAAGGUCCCAAAGUCAUGGUUAAGUGGGAAACGAUGUGGGAAGGCCCAGACAGCCAGGAUGUUGGCUUAGAAGCAGCCAUCAUUUAAAGAAAGCGUAAUAGCUCACUGGUCGAGUCGGCCUGCGCGGAAGAUGUAACGGGGCUAAACCAUGCACCGAAGCUGCGGCAGCGACACUGUGUGU